UUAUUUCGGCAAUACAUAUACUAAAAUUGGAACGAUACAGAGAAGAUUAACAUGGCCCCUGCGCAAGGAUGACACGCAAAUUCGUGAAGCGUUCCAUAUUUAG
rnacentral:snRNA from 1 species